rnacentral:rRNA from 1 species
CCUACGGGUGGCUGCAGUCAAGAACCUUCCACAAUGGACGAAAGUCUGAUGGAGCGACGCCGCGUGAUUGAUGAAGCGUUUCGACGUGUAAAGAUCUUUUAUGAGGGAAGAAAUUUUUGACGGUACCUCAUGAAUAAGGGGCUCCUAACUCUGUGCCAGCAGGAGCGGUAAUACAGAGGCCCCGAGCGUUAUCCGGAAUCAUUGGGCGUAAAGGGUGCGUAGGUGGUUGUAUUAGUCUUUCGUGAAAUCCAUGGGCCUAACCUAUGGCUUGCGAAGGAAACGGUACGACUUGAGAGCGAGAGAGGUGAACGGAACUCAUAGUGUAGGGGUGAAAUCCGUUGAUAUUAUGGGGAACACCAAAAGCGAAGGCAGUUCACUGGCUCGUUUCUGACACUGAUGCACGAAAGCGUGGGUAGCGAAUGGGAUUAGAUACCCUUGUAGUC